rnacentral:rRNA from 1 species
GCUUUGCCUACCAUCUCUUACCCAUGUCUUUUGAGUACCUUCGUUUCCUCGGCGGGUCCGCCCGCCGAUUGGACAAACUUAAACCCUUUGUAAUUGAAAUCAGCGUCUGAAAAAACAUAAUAGUUACAACUUUCAACAACGGAUCUCUUGGUUCUGGCAUCGAUGAAGAACGCAGCGAAAUGCGAUAAGUAGUGUGAAUUGCAGAAUUCAGUGAAUCAUCGAAUCUUUGAACGCACAUUGCGCCCCUUGGUAUUCCAUGGGGCAUGCCUGUUCGAGCGUCAUUUGUACCUUCAAGCUCUGCUUGGUGUUGGGUGUUUGUCUCGCCUUUGCGUGUAGACUCGCCUUAAAACAAUUGGCAGCCGGCGUAUUGAUUUCGGAGCGCAGUACAUCUCGCGCUUUGCACUCAUAACGACGACGUCCAAAAAGUACUUUUUACACUCUUGACCUCGGAUCA